rnacentral:rRNA from 1 species
UACGGGGGGGGCAAGCGUUGUUCGGAAUUACUGGGCGUAAAGGGCUCGUAGGUGGCCAACUAAGUCAUGCGUGAAAUCCCUCGGCUUAACCGGGGAACUGCGUCUGAUACUGGAUGGCUUGAGGUUGGGAGAGGGAUGCGGAAUUCCAGGUGUAGCGGUGAAAUGCGGUAGAUAUCUGGAGGAACACCGGUGGCGAAGGCGGCAUCCUGGACCAAUUCUGACGCUGAGGAGCGAAAGCCAGGGGAGCAA